AUGGUAUGGGUAAGUAUAUGAUAUUCAAAUUUGAAACUUUUGAAAGGUUCAAAGAAUUUAGAUGUAAAGUAGAGAAGCAAAUCGAAAAAAUUUCUAUAGGUACUUCGAUUGAAUUGAGGAUGCAAUACUGAUGAAAAAAAUUUCUCGAUUAUCUCAUAAAAUGGUAUAGUUUCAUAUUGGACCCCUAUUAGUACAUCUCAGCUCAACGAGAUAAGAAGAGUCAUGGG
rnacentral:lncRNA from 1 species